UGGGAUUCUUUCAGUUCUUUCAACAUAUUUGCAAUAACUGAUUUAAAGUUGUUUGUUUAGUAAGUACGGUAUCUAGGCUUCCAUAGGGACAGUUUUUAUUGACUACAUUUUUUCCCUUCGUGUCUUAUAACCUUGUUGAAUAUUGCACAUUCCAUAAUGUGAUAAUUGUGGAAAUCAGGUUUUCUGCUUCCCUAGGGAUGUUGUUGUCAUUUAAUGUUUUUCUUUCUGUUUGUGUAGCAGCUUUGCUGUAUGAAUUCUACAAAGUCUCUAUUUCCUGUCCUGAAGAGCACUGAAGUCAUGGCUUGCUUAGUUUACUGGUCAGCUAAAGAACAUACUGAUGCUCUGAAAGAUGACUCCAGGAGAGUUUGAGGAGGCAAACACCGUCUACACAGUACUACAAGCCUCUCCAUAGGACAGCUGAAAAUAUGGUAACUGGCUUCCCUUCAAGCAAGCAAUUAAGAGAAGAAGAGAGAUCAUCUAAGAGAGAAGCAAAAGUCUAACCUCAGAAGUGGCAUACCAUCAUUUAUGUUGUACCCUACUCAUUAGAUGCAAGUCACUAGGUCUAGCCCACACUCAAGGGGAAGAGAUGUCACAAAGGAGGGAAUACCAGGAAGUGGGGAUCACUGAGGGUCAAUAAUGUAAGUUACCCACUACAUUGUGUCCUCAGGUUUUAGUUUCCUUGAAAAAUCAUUCACACACUCCAAAACCCCAGUUAAUGGUUUUGUAGCUCACUAAAUAAUGCUGUUUGAUUUGCUGUCAAGUU
rnacentral:lncRNA from 1 species